rnacentral:rRNA from 1 species
AACGAACGCUGGCGGCAGGCUUAACACAUGCAAGUCGAACGCCCCGCAAGGGGAGUGGCCGACGGGUGAGUAACGCGUGGGAACAUACCCUUUCCUGCGGAAUAGCUCCGGGAAACUGGAAUUAAUACCGCAUACGCCCUACGGGGGAAAGAUUUAUCGGGGAAGGAUUGGCCCGCGUUGGAUUAGCUAGUUGGUGGGGUAAAGGCCUACCAAGGCGACGAUCCAUAGCUGGUCUGAGAGGAUGAUCAGCCACAUUGGGACUGAGACACGGCCCAAACUCCUACGGGAGGCAGCAGUGGGGAAUAUUGGACAAGGGGCGCAAGCCUGAUCCAGCCAUGCCGCGUGAGUGAUGAAGGCCUUAGGGUUGUAAAGCUCUUUCACCGAUGAAGAUAAUGACGGUAGUCGGAGAAGAAGCCCCGGCUAACUUCGUG